rnacentral:lncRNA from 1 species
AGAGGGAGGGACAGACAGACCUAUCUAUAGAUGACAGAUCUGUAGACAAUGUUGUUAGCAUGCCAGAUCUUAUUACAGAACCGUGGGAGGUCGUGUAUGCCACCUCCCAAUUCCAUAGGGACCACCACAUUUAAAACAAGAUGAAGAAAAAAAAGUGAUGUGGGGGGAAAAACCCUCCUGGGCAGCCUUCAAAGACAGAGACAGGUUGUGACUGGAUUAACAUUUAUUGACUAUUUAAGCCUGCUUUUUUGCUUCAGGACAGAGAUACACGAAUUUAAUUGCAGAGGCUGUUCUGCCAACUGAUCACCAGAGUGGCAACCAAAGCUUAACUAAUCGGUCCUUCAUUAGUGAAAAGUCUCUAUUACAAAACAAAUUAAGCAUGCUCUGAUCCUAACCUACAGGUCCAAUAGCAUUACAGCAAAGUUUAAGCUGUUAGAGCACUGAAAAACUUAUUAAGGGGUAGCGCUGAGAUAGCACUUUGCUAUUGAUUUUACAAUACACAGGUAUUAUGAUUUAUGGAGUGCUGGUGUCACUCUAACAAGCUGAAGGACACACAAUAUCAUCUCCAGCAUCAUUAAAAUUCAGAAGCCUCUAGAACUAACUCAUCAACCACUGUGCAUUGUCACAGACGGUGGUGCUGGGCUCCAGUUUCAAAACCUCCUCAGCUUUGGGACAGUUGUCACAGUUUGGCAAUCAGAUGUAGGGCAACCUCGUAAAAUGCAUUCAGUGCCUUCAAUUAAUUAUCAGAACCUGUUUUCACAAUGAGUUGUCAUGCAUUUUGUUUAAUUUUGCCUUUUAACAUCCAGAAGUAUUCACACAUCUACUGCACACCUGCUUAGGAAAGAAACUACCAAUGCAGUGUAUAAUUCAAGCAAGCAGGCUCUAAAGCAUGCCCCCCAAAUUAUUGCCUUUGUUGUGUAAGAUACUCAGAUAAAAAUCUGGCCGCACUGGGUGUGAUAAUCAAUAGAUAUUCAAUAAGCACCAAUUAUGUUAAGUAAUAGUAAUAAGAGCUAAUCAUUGAGUAUUUACUAUGUUCCAGAAUUGUCCUAAGUUCUUUCAUUCGUUAUUAGUACAUUUAAUCCUCACAAUCCUUUGAUGUGGAAACCUUACCUCCUUAUUGAUAAAAGUGUAGAGAGAGACCCAGAGAAGUUAAAUAACAUUGCUCAGAGAAGUCAAGAAUCCAGCUACCAAGUAGAAAAGCCAAAUUUCAGUGAAGCAGUGUGACAUCUGGGUGUUCUCCUGGGCUAAUUCCUAUAUCUAAUCGUUUCUAUUAGCAAAGUUGCAUUCUUUCAACUUCAGCAUCUGUAAUUCUGUACUUUGAGGUGGUUUCAAGUUCAUUCUCAUCAGGUGACGACCUGAAACGGAUUACUAGUUUUCUCAAUCUUCCUUCUGAGUUCUGAUGGGAUACCCUUUCUCUUCUCUCUGAGCUAAAUGCUCACAGUGAAUAUAAUAUUCCUUCAGAGAACUUUUCUGUCUUUUAUCAUUUGUGAUACUUUCAUUUGUUUCUUCUUUGCAUAAAAUACCUAAUUUUUAUUUUACAUCAUUUUCCAACCCCACCUCCAUCCCAAACUAAACACUGUUAAAUUUUACAAGUACCUGUGGUAUCUAUAAUCAGUGCUGGCUUAAAUUGAAUUACAAACUUAUAUCUUGGCUUGAUACCCAUAUUUCUCCAUAAGUGUUUACCAAAGAACAGAAAUUGCUAAAUGCUAUGUCCAUCAUGGACCUCAAGCUAAAGAAUCUGGGACUGGUAUAGCAAAAGAAAGACUGUCUCACCUUUUAGGAUGCCUCAAAGCAAGGCCCUCAGUGUUAUAAAUGUUACUGAUUCAUGUUCAACUUUCUACCCCCAGAUCAUUUCCUGCUUGAUCUGCAUAGCGAAUCAGUCUCUGGAUUUCAUCUAAAAUUUCCUUUCCCAUGUAAGUUACAUAUAUUCCUAUUAGGAGUUGUCCCAACUGUUACUGGCUAUUUUUACAACUUGAAAGGUUAUUAGAUUUCAAAUUCUGCUUGUCACCUUCUCACCAUCUUGAUGCCAUUCUAGAUCUAAGUCCCCAAGAAUUUCAGCGGGAUUGCAGAUCAAUAGCUGGCACAUAAGGAAUGCCAUCUGCCUAGCUAAUAUUAUGUUAGAAAAAUGUUUUUAUCCACCCAGGGUGGUUUCUUCUGCUUCUGAAUGUAACCUGUCAGUUCCAAGAAGUCUUGGUGGUUCUGAUAUUUUCUGAUCGUGCUGGUCCUUUAACUCAAGGUGCCUUUCCAGCCACAUUUCACCUAUGAACUCACAAUUCAUUACUAGUAGUUGGGCCCAAGUGGCAUCUCUUCUGGGAACCCUUCUGUGGUUCCUCAAGUUAGAAUUAAUCGCUCCAUUCUCAUUUGUUUGUUAGCAACUUUGAAUGAAAAGAAUCACUGAAAAGAGGUUGUAUAUGAAAUCGGUUUUGCCAAAAGUGUAGUUUUGUUGCAUUUAUUCAGUUGAUCCCGGGGAGCAUAAAUCUUCCAUAAUAUUAAUCUCUGAUCUUAGUCUCAAUUUCAGAUCUUGCAGUCUUUUCUGAAUUUGGGUUCUUUGGUCUUCAUUUAGUUAUUCCAUGGUAGCAUUUCUCACUAAUAGUUUCCUGUGUACUUAGUGGUAUUUCCUUUAUGCAGCGCUUCUGAACUCUUUGUCUUGUGGGAUAUUACCUGUGUCUUCAGUCCUGCUUUGAUCCACAAGAUCCUUAAGAGCUGGUGGGGACCUCAGCUAUAAGUUAAUACAACCUCUUAUAGAAAUCUAAUAGAAAUUGUUUUCUAGACAAUUUUAAAUUAACCUGUGGAAGACUUGGAGACUAACUCCUAAUUCAUCCAGCUAGUUAAGGCGACACAAAUGGAUGGCAGUCAGUGUUCUGUUUUCAAACUCGAAAAGGAGCAGAUUGGCAAUAGCUAAAUAUGGGAAAGUGAAAUAGACCACAGCGGUGCUGUCACAUGUUUUAUUGAAUAAGCCUUUACAUAGCUAUGUACUUCUUACCAAUGGUGUCAUUUUCGACAGUCCCCUAAGCUUCCUGAUUCCGAUUCUUGGGAACUAAUAUUCUAUAUCUACCCAGUUUCUUUCUACCCCACCACAACCUUGAACCCCAAAUUCAAUUUCCCUGCACCAAGGGGGUCUUUAUAGUUUCACCCAUCUUCCCUUCUCUGGAAGAAUGAGUCCACACAUCUCAAGUUUACUUUCUGUACAUGUUAUUCCACGAAUAGACGCCAAGUCUUUGCACAUGAAAUGACUUCCAACACUGGCCAUCACCAUCCUAAACUUUAUCCACAACUCAUCUCAAAGGCCAACUAAUUUUUUUUGACCACAGACAACCCCCCCCUCAGAAUUGUUUAAUUGUUUAAUCCUCUGUCCUCUCCCACUAUCUUACUUUUGCCUCAAUGCUAGCUCCUUCCUCGGUCUGUUUUCUAUUAGGAUUUCUUUUUAACUUCCUAGACUGUGUUCCCUAAAAAGAUUUUCCUUGAGAUACUGAGCGAUUUCACAAAACGCAACCUAAAUACAUACUCAAAUAGAUAAAUGAAUAACGAGGAAGGCAUUUUGAAUAUGUUGCCUUCUACAAAAAUAGGUCUAACCCCCCAAACUGCAGAAAUAUCUUCAUUUAUUAGUAAAGGGCUUUUGAAAACUAUUCUUUCACAGAAUGGAUGGCACAAAGGAAUUCCAUAAUGCAUAGAAAGCAUGACAUGUUUUAAUAUAUCAUGAACCUAUUUCUGAACAUGGCCUAAAUUCUACAUUCAAUUAUGGCAAAUUGUCAUUGACCAUUCUGGAUUUCUUACCCUAAUUAUGAUAAAGGGGAGGAAAGACAAAUUUAAACACCUACAAUCUCACUAAACUAUAAAUACCUUUAUCAAAUGUUAUUAUGAACCAGUUCUCGGGGUUGACAUUUAGACGGUGUCAACUCAUUCCCAAAAGACAAGUGGAGGGGGGAUUCACUUUUGUCUGUUUCAUCUAAACAAAUCUACUUAAAUAUUUGAAACACCUGAGCUGCCUGGCUAUUCUUUCCUCCGUUUGAAGAACAGUCAGGUUGUGUCCGCACUGUUAGGGUAAAGGCAUUCACACACCAGACCUAGACAUGUCUUUGCUUCUCCACAUUCCUUACAACUUGUGACGUCACCCUUCACUCCUUGAAUACAUCCAGUAUCCGCCCCAGCCUGUAUAAAUCUAUUCUGCCCCUUUGCCUCCGUCUUCAGGUACAGCAUACUGUAAAUAAUCGUAAUGGGGCGGUUGCAAAUAGUUCUGUGGUACACUGGAGACCCCUAUUGGUGAGACUCAGGUAAUGACUGCCUAGCUGGAUGCCCCAACCAACAGAAACUGAGUCGGCUUCUAUUUCUGCUCCUUUGCGUUCCAGCAGAGCCGAAAGCAAUGUCAUGGGCAAUUCUUGCAUACUGACUAAUCUGUGAGAACAAAUGGGUGUGUUUACUGUACUUCGUGCUUCUGGGAAGGCAUCACUAAGAAGGCAGUACAGUGACAAAACACUGACUUCCUGCAAUGUGGGGGCCAUUCAUUUUCAGGCGACAACGGGGAUAAAUGCAGCAUUGCUGCUACAAGUCCAUAUUGAUCAAAGAUGGGAAAGCUCCACACAGUCCCAUUCUCCCUGAGAGUUCGGUAGCAACUUCUGCACGUCGUAUUCUAACUUUAAAAUCGGUGUCCCUCUCGAAUAUGGAUAUGAUACGACGUUAAAAAGUGGGAUUUUUUCAGAGUCCUUAAAAGCUUACAUUGCCCAAUUUAAACAAUCACUAAUUCAGAACCUCUGAAUGCUUAAAGUAAAAUUUCUUAAGAGUAAUUUACAGAGAAAAUGAUCUCCCAAACAUCUUGACUAAUUCUUUAAUAUGUGUGUUGAAAUUAUUUUGACAGCUUAAAAUAUGAAGCCGUUCCUCCUAUAACUGAAAGGUAUUGUGUGAUGCCAAAUGUACCAUAAAUCUUCAUUCAUUUGGGAUCGGGCAUUGUCUGAGAAUGUUAGCUUGUAAAUGUUGUCAGGUGUUUUUCCUUUCUUUUACAUCCACAUUUUAAAUUAAAGAAUAACAACAACAUGAAUGAGAUUUCACAUAUUUGCUUUCAAAAAUAUUAAAAACUCCUACCCUGUCCACAUGGUCCCUAAAGAGAGAAAACCCCAUCACUUACCAGGUGAGAAAAAAGUCUUUGUGCUUAAACUUGAAAUAUCUGUAUCCCUUAACUGGCACAUUAAUAAAAUACAUCUUAUUAAAACACUGCCACAGGGAGAAAAACUCCACCCCCCAAAAAAAAAUUUACAGACACAUUCAGUACUUGAUUCACCUUUGUUAUUGGUUUUGUUAACGUUUUUAUACUUGUUUACUUCUCCGUGAUUUUUCUUUGUAAACUAAACUACUACUUCUCUUGCCUUUCUCCUCCUCUUCCUCUCCCAAACACACACACACACACAGCCUCCUCUUCAGAGCACAAUCCUUCCCUUGCCUUCAGCUGAAGCUCCAAGCAUAGGAGAGAGCCUGGGUGUAGGGUAUAAAAAUCCAGUACCUGUAAGCACCAUAUCAAAUACAAAUUCCUGUUCACACUGUCAUCAGUGAUCAUUUCUUUGCCACAUGUAUCAACAUUUCCCACAUACAUGUGUGAUUUGUGGUAAGUUUCUAAUCUUAUUUGAAAUGGAAGAGAAUAUUUUAACUGACACACACAAUUGCUGCUAAAUAGCUCCACACAGUUUAUGGCCAAGCUUAGACUGAGCCCCGCAGGCUGAAGCCGAGGUGGGGUGGCGGGUUCUCCCUUUCAGGAAACACUCACCUCCCUGCAUCCAAAGUUCCCAGGCAGAUGCAGCCAAAUAAAACCAGAGCCGAAGCAGUGCAUUCCUGGCCUAGAGGCCUGUGUGUGUAACUGGGGUAGAGAUAGGACGUUGCAGUUUUUAAAAAGGGCAGACAACUUCAGGGCCCAUGAUGUAGACACCAGAAGGGAAACCCUGGUCUCUAAUCCCAACUCUAUGGCCUCUGUCACCACCUUCCCUGGAUUUUUUUUAAAGAUUUUUCUGGAAAUUUGUGCACUAGUUGAACUAUCUGGAAUUAGAAACUGAUCUUUUUUUUUAAGACGUAUAGCUCUUACUGAAGUAUGACAUGUUUCAUUCGUUUUAUGUGACUCACCAUUUGUAUACGCUGGGAAAUGAUUACAAGAAGUUUAGUUACCAUCUAGCACCGUACAAUGUUUAUAGAAUAUUAUAACUGUAUUCUCCAUGCUAUUAGUAUCCUCAUGAAUUAUGAUGGAAGUUUGUACCUCUUGAACAGUGAUUUUUAGAUACAGAUUACGUGAGGUACUGUACUCUGUGGUACCUCCGUGGGUUAUUGGUGCAAUGCCCCACAGAGCACAAUUCUAAAAGGCACACUGGGAGCUAGGUAACAAUCCCACAAAGAACAGACCUGGAAUAACACUAGGAAAGUGUUAUCUCUUUGCUCUUGACACCUGUCUUCUCUCAGGCUUUCUGCUUCAGAAAGAAUGCCCUGUACAGGUACUAUUUCUACAAACUUCCGUGAUGAAAUCGUUAUCAAGAACAGAAGGCAAGAGUCAAAGUUCAAAGAAAAUAUUUCCAGCUCUGCCAUAUGCUAAUUUUAUAAUCUCAUGUUUCCUCAUCUAUCAAAUGGGCAUUCUAAUCCUACCUGCCUAUGUCAUACGUGAGAACUGAGGUGGGUGAUGUGGGUAAAUGUGCUUUAGAAAGCUGGAAGUCCUGUCUCUCUGUGGGCUUAUUGUGCUUUCUACUG